rnacentral:rRNA from 1 species
GAUGAACGCUGGCGGCGUGCCUAAUACAUGCAAGUCGAGCGAACAGACGAGGAGCUUGCUCCUCUGACGUUAGCGGCGGACGGGUGAGUAACACGUGGAUAACCUACCUAUAAGACUGGGAUAACUUCGGGAAACCGGAGCUAAUACCGGAUAAUAUAUUGAACCGCAUGGUUCAAUAGUGCAAGCCGGUUUUGCUGUCACUUAUAGAUGGAUCCGCGCCGCAUUAGCUAGUUGGUAAGGUAACGGCUUACCAAGGCAACGAUGCGUAGCCGACCUGAGAGGGUGAUCGGCCACACUGGAACUGAGACACGGUCCAGACUCCUACGGGUGGCAGCAGUAGGGAAUCUUCCGCAAUGGGCGAAAGCUUGACGGAGCAACGCCGCGUGAGUGAUGAAGGUCUUCGGAUCGUAAAACUCUGUUAUUAGGGAAGAACAAAUGUGUAAGUAACUAUGCACGUCUUGACGGUACCUAAUCAGAAAGCCACGGCUAACUACGUG